ensembl:lncRNA
CCCUAGGUUAUAGGUGAAUCUGCCCUAGGGUGGAGGGUUGGAGAGGGGUUAGGUUUCCACCGGUAGAGGGGGCAUUCUCUCCACCCGUAGCACCUUCCUCUCUCCCUUAUUCAUAUGGUCUCUCCCGGUGCCCCCAGCUGGUGCUCUGCAGUAGGUUACACCAAACGACCCUGGUCAUUCCAGAUGAUUAUGGAUACGAACCAGGAUAUUUGAACAUUUUCAUAGGCCCCUUUUCACUGAGUCUAUGAUUCUAGGCUCCAAGUCUCAUGGGACAUGAUUUAGUGUGGGCCAUGGGACAAACUGGAACCGGAGAAAUAGCCCUGGAUUUUCUUUACAGGGAACCGUCCUACAACAUGCCGCCGUCGCGGUCGCUGCACCAGUAUCUCUUGGGAACGAAUCACAGAGACGCACCACCGCAGUGAUCCACAGCUGACCGUUCACUGAGCGCCAAAGAACCAGGCUGAAUUAUGAGCUGUUGCUACCCUGUCCGUCAACCUUCAUUCUUACAACUGCCUGGUCACCUGAAGUCUCCAGUUAUUUGGUUCCAGGGUCCAAUCAAUGGUGAGUGGAGCCCCAGAGUCGUGAGAGCCAGACAAACUCCCAGACGCAUGCAUGAAUUCCAUGGACACACAACAAGUCAGCCCCCCUCCCCCGGCCAUCAGAUCACGGGCGUUAAUUACACCCUGAUAGGGCCACGGAGGCAGAGGAAGACCACGGUGAUGGGAGGAAGGCUAUAGGGGACGAAGACUGUUGGUGAUGACAAAUUAUGCUGACGAAGACGAUGGGGAGGAAGAACAUGGGGAUGAGGACUAUGAUGAUGAGGAUUCUGGUGAUCAAGACGAGGACACAGUGACCUUCCAGAUCAAUGGAGUCCUAACGCUUGGAUAGUUUGGUGUUAAUGUUUGGAAUAAUGUAAAGCACCAUAUGUCACUCCUUUCAAAUUACAUUUAUAAUGUGUCUUUUAAUUUGGCAUCUCUUGAAGCACAAGACUUUGAAGACUUAUACAUAAUAGCCUACAUAUAUAAUAUCUUAUAUUUAUAUAUACAGAUAUACAGUAGAUAUAGAAACCUAUAUAUUUAUAGAUAAAAUACACAUAAACCUGAUUACACUCAACACAUUUCACAUCCGUAAGUCGUCCGUAACGCCUCCCAACACGCCCACGACGGAACAUACAUCCAUGGAUCAGCAAAUACUUCAUUCAUACAUCACAACACAACUGUGUAUGUUGUGUUGUGUGCUGUUGAACAAGAUGAAUCGCGUGUACUUUGCCCCCUGGUUGUGUGUGCUUGUGCGGCAUUGAAGUGGUGCGCAGAGGGAAGCCUUCGCCCCGAGGGCCCUCACUGGCCAGAACAAAAGCGCGCAGCGUGCACGUGGUCGGCCCGUCCAUUAGGAUGC